rnacentral:rRNA from 1 species
GACGAACGCUGGCGGCGUGCUUAAUACAUGCAAGUCGAACGGAAAGACCCUGCUUUUGUGGGGCUCUCGAUUGGCGAACGGGUGAGUAACACGUGAGUAUCCUGCCCCUGACUUUCGGAUAACACUACGAAACUGGGGCUAUUAUCGGAUAGGAGCUUCUGCUGCACGGUGGGCGAUGGAGAGUUUCGGUGGUUUGGGCUGGACUCGCGGGUUAUCAGCUUGUUAGUGUGGUAGGUGUGUCCAAAGGCUUUGACGGAUAGCCGGCCUGAGAGGGUUGCCGGCGACAUGAGGACUAAGAGACGGACCAGACGCGUACGGGACGCAGCAGUGGGAAAUAUUGCACAACGGGCGGGAGCCUGAUGCGGAAACGCCGCGUGCGGGAUGACGGCUUUCUAGUUGUAAACCUCUUUCGCCUGUGACGAAGCGUGAGUGACGGUAAUGGGUAAAGAAGCACCGGCUAACUACGUG